GAGCGGAUCUUUGGGAGCUUGCUCCUAAAGGUUAGCGGCGGACGGGUGAGUAACACGUGGGCAACCUGCCUGUAAGACUGGGAUAACUUCGGGAAACCGGAGCUAAUACCGGAUAAUUCUUCUCCUCUCAUGAGGAGAAGCUGAAAGAUGGUUUCGGCUAUCACUUACAGAUGGGCCCGCGGCGCAUUAGCUAGUUGGUGAGGUAACGGCUCACCAAGGCGACGAUGCGUAGCCGACCUGAGAGGGUGAUCGGCCACACUGGGACUGAGACACGGCCCAGACUCCUACGGGAGGCAGCAGUAGGGAAUCUUCCGCAAUGGACGAAAGUCUGACGGAGCAACGCCGCGUGAACGAUGAAGGCCUUCGGGUCGUAAAGUUCUGUUGUUAGGGAAGAACAAGUAUCGGAGUAACUGCCGGUACCUUGACGGUACCUAACCAGAAAGCCACGGCUAACUACGUGCCAGCAGCCGCGGUAAU
rnacentral:rRNA from 1 species